rnacentral:rRNA from 1 species
GACGAACGCUGGCGGCGUGCUUAACACAUGCAAGUCGAACGGUAAGGCCCUUCGGGGUACACGAGUGGCGAACGGGUGAGUAACACGUGGGUGAUCUGCCCUGCACUUCGGGAUAAGCCUGGGAAACUGGGUCUAAUACCGGAUAGGACCACUGCCUGCAUGGGUGGUGGUGGAAAGCUUUUGCGGUGUGGGUUGGGCCCGCGGCCUAUCAGCUUGUUGGCGGGGGGAUGGCCUACCCAGGCGACGACGGGUAGCCGGCCUGAGAGGGUGACCGGCCACACGUGGACUGUGAGAAGGCGCAGACUCCGACGGGAGGCAGCGGUGGGGAAUAUUGCACAAUGGGCGCAAGCCUGAUGCAGCGACGCCGCGUGAGGGAUGACGGCCUUCGGGUUGUAAACCUCUUUCAGCACCGACGAAGCGCAAGUGACGGUAGGUGCAGAAGAAGGACCGGCCAACUACGUGCCAGCCGCCGCAGUAA